UUUCCAUCAGAUUCAGAAUCCUUACCUUAACCCUGUUGUGCGCAAUCGCAGUACCCGCUGGUAGCACAUGGGUAGCAACAAAUGUUAGACUGCAUAGAUUGUCCAAGUGCUGUUCACUGCAGUCUGACUUUUUUCGUGUUAUUACACACAGAAAUUCAAAACCAUGCAUUUUAAAGCGGAACACUACUCAGAUUAUUUUCGUGUUAGGUUAGGGUUAGCUCACUCUAACUCUUGAUUUACCCUAACCACAACUCUCAGUUAAAGUUACUCAGGCAGAAGGACAAAACGAUGACGCGUUUGAGGAUGAUCAUGACAGACAGGAAAAGCAGAGACGGAAGAAGCCGCAGGUAAAGGUAGACGAGCUGCUGCGCCCCAAACCUUUCUGCUUCGAAAACGUUGAGAGAAUUGACGAGCGGAAGAAUAUUUUGCCGUGUAAAAAGAUUUUAAAAGAAGAAAGAAAUGAAAAAACAGGAGGAGGAAAAGACAGCCAACAGGCCAGACAACACAGCCUUUACCCAGCAACGUCUUCCGGCCUGGCAGCCCAUGCUCUCGGCUGGCAUCGUCAUCCCAGGGUUUCUUCUUAUCGGCCUGGUCUUCAUUGGCAUUGGUGUCACCCUCUUUGUCACCUCGCAAAACAUCCAAAUGCUUGAGAUGGAUUACACUGGAGUAGAUAAAACCUCACCCUGCUACAAGUGCACUGAAACCACACAUAAGAACUGCAUGUGCACUCUGGACUUCUCGGUCAGCAGACUGGUUGAGGGUCCCGUGUUCUUCUAUUAUGGACUGUCCAACUACUUCCAGAACUACCGCAAAUAUGGAGUAUCUAAAGACUUCUACCAGCUGUCAGGUGAUCUCACCUACUUUACGACUCCUAGUGAGGACUGCUUACCUUACCGGUAUGAUUCUAGUUCCAAACCGAUUGUUCCCUGUGGGUCCGUAGCAAACAGCAUGUUCAACGAUAGCUUCACGCUCUACCAGAUUGUCAAUGGAACAAAUAAGUUGGUCCCCUUCGAUGGUAAAGGGAUCGCCUGGUGGACUGACUACAACAUCAAGUACCGAAACCCAAAUGUUACUCCUCUGAAGAAUGCCUUCAACAAUACGGUUAAGCCACCCUAUUGGUCAAAACCAGCCUAUGAACUGGACACCUCAGACGCCUCCAACAAUGGCUUCAUCAACCAGGACUUCCUGGUUUGGAUGAGAAGGGCGGCCCUGCCAGAUUUCCGGAAACUAUAUCGAAGAAUCACUGAGGGGGAUUAUGCCCAUGGCCUGCCUGCUGGAAACUACUCCCUAAACAUCACCUACAAUUACCCAGUUAUUCCCUUCGAUGGCAGGAAGAAGGUGGUCAUCAGUAACGUAUCCUGGAUGGGCGGCAAGAACCAGUUCCUGGGCAUCGCCUACCUGGUGGUUGGCUCACUGUGUGUCUUCAUGUCCAUGGUGAUGCUCAUCGUCUACGCUAAGUUCAAGUUCCCAGAGGAAGACUAGACUAGUGAUGGGAGCCCUGGACUGUGAUGGAAGGUCAAUGUUGUGGAAGGGUUUAAUGGGGCCACAGAGAUGGAAGCUGCUAAUUGACUUGAGCAAUUCAUCUUAAAAUGAGCUGCCCCCCACCCCCGAACAAAACACUUUUCUCCAGCCUUCCUGCAUGGGUGACUGUGGGGCUCGACUUCACUCCAGAGGAGUUCAUUGCAUUAUUUCAAUGUGAAUCGGAUCAUUGGAGAAGCAUGGCUUUCUGUAUCACAGAGAAGCUGUUCCCAUAUCUUUCUGCUGUUAUGGCUGGCUUUGUUGUCUACCAUUUCUUUAAGGCAUACAAGAGGAGGCAGUUCACAUCUUUCCCGGUAAGUGUUUCAUCCACAUUGCACAGAAUUAACCACAGAGUUCUCACACCUUAUUAACUGUAUACUGUCACUUGAUCUAAACCCUGAUGGCAUUCUGAGAACCCAAUACAUUUCAUGAAAUGUAUCCACCACACAUUGUAAUGGAUGUAUCAGCCACUGCACCCAGGACAGUAAACACAGAAGGUGGUUUAUCAUGCCUCAGCUUUGCUUUCAGAAGAGUCAUGAGAUGCUCAGUGUGGCUGCCAUACUGUCAGAGCAGCUGAAACAUGGCUUGGCCAUGAAGCAGGCUCUGGUGGAGGGGCUUAAGGACGUGGAGAUCAGACUGCUGGCCCUGGAGCAGAGGCUGCUGAUGGUGGAGAAGACUGGACAAGGAAGAAGGAAGAAAGCCCUCGGGAGCAAAGGCCGAGAGCUGACCUACGAUGACUCUAAGUGGUGUCAGUCAUCAGGCGAGAGCGAGGUGGAGUCCAACUGUUCUGGAAGGGAGGCCAUGCUGUCAAAACCUCUGCUGUAAAUUUGAUCCUAAAAAUGUCUUGCUGAAUAAAAAUUAUGAUUAUGUGAA